rnacentral:lncRNA from 1 species
CAAGUACUCUAUCACUGAGUCACAACCCCAGCCCUGUGCAUUGACUUUUGACAUCAGAAAAAAAGAAUCUCUUCAACAACAACUACACUUAAAGUACUGCUUGUUCUUAUUCUGAAAUAAAAACAGUUUAUGGAUUUGUCAUUGGUAAUAGAUAUGACUUGGCGAUAGUUUUUGGAUUGAGUUUGUAUGUGAACAUGAAUAUGUGUAAGUAAUGAUUAAGCACUCUUCAAAUGUACAGUGUUAUAACAUUUUCACUCUUACUAGGUAAGUAGAAAGUUAAAGAUUGCCAUAUAAACUAUGACAAAAAGAAAGAACUAUCAUCUGGAUAUGCUGGUGCACUACUGUAAUCCCAGCUUCUCAGGGGGCUGAGUCAGGAGGAUUGCAAGUUUGAGGCCAGCCAGGGCAUCUUAAGGAGACCCAGUUUUAAAAUAAAAAUGAAAAAAAAAAAAAAGGCAUCAAUUAAAGUGAGACCAGAUACAAGGCAUCUUUAAAGUUAAACAGUAAACAAUAGGGAAAUCCACUGCAGAUUUUUGAGGAAGGUACUGAUAUAUUACAAAGGGUGCCUUAUGAACAUUACUCCAGCAAUAGUCAGAUAGCCUAGAGAGGUUUAGAUUGGAGGCAAAAGACCACCUGGUAGGCAAUAGCAGUAAUGUAGGCUUGAAGUGAUAGAAUAGGAAGGAAAUGGAGAUAAAGAAUUUCUCAAAAGAACUGGCAGCUCCUCACUGCAUAAACUUGUCUACCUGAAGAGCCUAAAGCACCCAGCAUGGUGCUGGGUCCAGAGUGGGAACUCAGUAAACAUUUGAAGAAUCCUAAUAAAAUUAAUGACAAGACCUACUGAUAUAGGACAUGUGCUUUUCAGAAAUUAAGAGUGACGAGGAGAAGUCUUAGUACAGAGAAGUGACAUGAAGAAGAGGGGACGGUUUGAGGGAGAUGAUGUUCUGGGUUAUAUUUUUUGUACAAAUUAAAAGUAAACUAUAUCCUCUGAGCUGGUUUAGUAGUCUUGAUUUCAGGAGACCCAAAGCAUAUUUGCUGGUAUAGUAUUUGGAGCCAAUAAUAAAAAAUUGCU